UACGUAGGACACAAGCGUUAUCCGGAUUUACUGGGCGUAAAGAGCGUUGAGGCGGUUCUGUAAGUUGGACGUGAAAGCCCCUGGCCUAACUGGGGGAGGCCGUUCAAUACUGCAGGACUUGAGGGCAGCAGAGGGAGGUGGAAUUCCCGGUGUAGUGGUGAAAUGCGUAGAUAUCGGGAGGAACACCAGUGGCGAAGGCGGCCUCCUGGGCUGCUCCUGACGCUGAAGGCGAAAGCUAGGGGAGCGAACGGG
rnacentral:rRNA from 1 species